UACGUAGGUCCCGAGCGUUGUCCGGAUUUAUUGGGCGUAAAGCGAGCGCAGGUGGUUUAUUAAGUCUGGUGUAAAAGGCAGUGGCUCAACCAUUGUAUGCAUUAGAAACUGGUAGACUUGAGUGCAGGAGAGGAGAGUGGAAUUCCAUGUGUAGCGGUGAAAUGCGUAGAUAUAUGGAGGAACACCGGUGGCGAAAGCGGCUCUCUGGCCUGUAACUGACAUUGAGGCUCGAAAGCGUGGGGAGCAAACAGG
rnacentral:rRNA from 1 species